rnacentral:rRNA from 1 species
UAACACGUGGGUAACCUACCUAUAAGACUGGAAUAACUUCGGGAAACCGGAGCUAAUGCCGGAUAACAUUUGGAACCGCAUGGUUCUAAAGUAAAAGAUGGUUUUGCUAUCACUUAUAGAUGGACCCGCGCCGUAUUAGCUAGUUGGUAAGGUAACGGCUUACCAAGGCAACGAUACGUAGCCGACCUGAGAGGGUGAUCGGCCACACUGGAACUGAGACACGGUCCAGACUCCUACGGGAGGCAGCAGUAGGGAAUCUUCCGCAAUGGACGAAAGUCUGACGGAGCAACGCCGCGUGAGUGAUGAAGGUUUUCGGAUCGUAAAACUCUGUUAUUAGGGAAGAACAAAUGUGUAAGUAACUGUGCACAUCUUGACGGUACCUAAUCAGAAAGCCACGGCUAACUACGUGCCAGCAGCCGCGGUAAUACGUAGGUGGCAAGCGUUAUCCGGAAUUAUUGGGCGUAAAGCGCGCGUAGGCGGUUUCUUAAGUCUGAUGUGAAAGCCCACGGCUCAACCGUGGAGGGUCAUUGGAAACUGGGAAACUUGAGUACAGAAGAGGAAAGUGGAAUUCCAUGUGUAGCGGUGAAAUGCGCAGAGAUAUGGAGGAACACCAGUGGCGAAGGCGACUUUCUGGUCUGUAACUGACGCUGAUGUGCGAAAGCGUGGGGAUCAAACAGGAUUAGAUACCCUGGUAGUCCACGCCGUAAACGAUGAGUGCUAAGUGUUA